AACGACUCUCGGCAACGGAUAUCUCGGCUCUCGCAUCGAUGAAGAACGCAGCGAAAUGCGAUACUUGGUGUGAAUUGCAGGAUCCCGCGAACCAUCGAGUCUUUGAACGCAAGUUGCGCCCRAAGCCUUMUGGCCGAGGGCACGUCUGCCUGGGUG
rnacentral:rRNA from 1 species